rnacentral:tRNA from 1 species
CACUAGUUAGCCUAGUAAAUAAGGCUAUGGAUCGCCAAUCCGGAGAUGACGGGUUCGAUUCCCGUUCCAGUCG